rnacentral:rRNA from 1 species
UACGGGGGGGGCAAGCGUUGUUCGGAAUUACUGGGCGUAAAGGGCGUGUAGGCGGUUGGUCAAGUCUGGUGUGAAAGCCCGGGGCUUAACCCCGGAAGUGCAUUGGAAACUAGCCAGCUGGAGCGCGAGAGAGGAGGGUGGAAUUCCUGGUGUAGCAGUGAAAUGCGUAGAUAUCAGGAGGAACACCGGCGGCGAAGGCGGCCCUCUGGCUCGUUGCUGACGCUGAAACGCGAAAGCGUGGGGAGCAAACAGG